rnacentral:rRNA from 1 species
ACAGUUUCCGUAGGUGAACCUGCGGAAGGAUCAUUG